rnacentral:rRNA from 1 species
UACGUAGGGUGCAAGCGUUAAUCGGAAUUACUGGGCGUAAAGCGUGCGCAGGCGGUUGUGCAAGACAGAUGUGAAAUCCCCGGGCUCAACCUGGGAAUUGCAUUUGUGACUGCACGGCUAGAGUGUGUCAGAGGGGGGUAGAAUUCCACGUGUAGCAGUGAAAUGCGUAGAGAUGUGGAGGAAUACCGAUGGCGAAGGCAGCCCCCUGGGAUAACACUGACGCUCAUGCACGAAAGCGUGGGGAGCGAACAGG